AAGACACUCGCCUAGAAGUAGCCGAACGUUCACGAGAGUGUGCGAGGUUCACCGAAGAUUGCACUGCUUGAGAAUCGGGUCGCGGUGCCGCAUAUAGUCGAUACGGAGUGACGUUUUGAUUUGACAAUUUUCUUUCUUGAUGAUUUUUUUUUUAUUUUGUAACGUACAACGUACGUAACGUAUGUAAGAAGAACUCCUAAUAAACCAUUAACGAAGAUAACGAAUUGGUAUGAUCGUUAAUCAUGUCGUUUUCCGCUUAAUUAUAAAAGAUAUUUGAUUCGAAUUGGUUGAUGAACGUUUAACGAGUACAGUUAAUCGACCGAUAAAUAACAAGAAACGAACAAAAGGAAAUCUACGUAUUCACAAGCCAGUUUGGGAUACACUAUAUUGUUAUUUCCUUCUUAGAACUAAAUCGAGUUUACUAUAAUGAUUGCAUUUAUGAAGCUGACUUUAGUAAACGUCACACAGAAAUGUACGUGCAGGUGCCAAGGAGCUGGUUUAAAUUUAGCAAUAUCGCGUGCAACCAAUACAUUGUCGCAGGAUUAAUUGAUUUGACCUGAGGAAAGAAUCAUCUAUACAUUAUCAGUAAAAUAUCAAACGCACGUUUAUAAAUAUUAAACAUGUCAUUAGAAUUUUCUGCAAACAAUGUAUUAAUUUUUAUAGAAAAAUAUAUUCCGAUGAAAAAUUAAUACGAUAUAAAAAAGGUUAAAGGAUUUGUGAUUCUCAGGAUCUCCCAAGGACGAUUACGCACUGAAUGACACAGUCCGCGUUACGUCACUGAUAAGAUGUCGCACAUGUUUCGUGACACGAAUGCGUAUGACGAAACAUCGUGGGAGGAAAAGCGUCAAACGAUGAGAAGAAAAAAAGUAGUGGAAAGGAGAUCGUAAAA